AAAGAUUAAGCCAUGCAUGUCUAAGUACAUGCCGAAAGGCGAAACCGCGAAUGGCUCAUUAAAUCAGUUAUGGUUCCUUAGAUCGUUUCAUCCUACUUGGAUAACUGUGGCAAUUCUAGAGCUAAUACAUGGCUUUUAUUAGAUGUGGUGACUCUGGAUAACGCCGGCGACGUUUCUUUCAAGUGUCUGCCUUAUCAACUUUCGAUGGUAGGUUACUUGCCUACCAUGGUUGUUACGGGUGACGGAGAAUCAGGGUUCGAUUCCGGAGAGGGAGCCUGAGAAACGGCUACCACAUCCAAGGAAGGCAGCAGGCGCGCAAAUUACCCACUCCCGGCACGGGGAGGUAGUGACGAAAAAUAACAAUACGGGACUCUUUUGAGGCCCCGUAAUAGUACACUCUAAAUCCUUUAACGAGGAUCAAUUGGAGGGCAAGUCUGGUGCCAGCAGCCGCGGUAAUUCCAGCUCCAAUAGCGUAUACUAAAGCUGCUGCGGUUGAAAAGCUCGUAGUUGGAUCUCUACUGAACAUCAUGCCGGUCGCGUCUUGGUGCCCUUCAUUGGGUGCCUCGAAGUGGCCGGUGAUUUUACUUUGAAAAAAUUAGAGUGCUCAAAGCAGGCGAGUCGCCUGAAUACACUUGCAUGGAAUAAUAGAGCAAGUUCUGUUGGUUUUGUAAUGAUCAAGAGGGACGGACGGGGGCAUUCGUAUUGCGGCGCUAGAGGUGAAAUUCUUGGACCGUCGCAAGACGAACUACUGCGAAAGCAUUUGCCAAGAAUGUUUUCUUUGAUCAAGAACGAAAGUUAGAGGUUCGAAGGCGAUCAGAUACCGCCCUAGUUCUAACCAUAAACGAUGCCAACCAGCAAUCCGCCUGAGUUACUCAAAUGACUCGGCGGGCAGCUUCCGGGAAACCAAAGUAUUUGGGUUCCGGGGGAAGUAUGGUUGCAAAGCUGAAACUUAAAGGAAUUGACGGAAGGGCACCACCAGGAGUGGAGCCUGCGGCUUAAUUUGACUCAACACGGGAAAACUUACCCGGCCCGGACACUGGGAGGAUUGACAGAUUGAGAGCUCUUUCUUGAUUCGGUGGAUGGUGGUGCAUGGCCGUUCUUAGUUGGUGGAGCGAUUUGUCUGGUUAAUUCCGAUAACGAACGAGACUCUAGCCUAUUAAACCUUCUUAGAGGGACAAGCGGCUCCUAGCCGCACGAAACAGAGCAAUAACAGGUCUGUGAUGCCCUUAGAUGUCCGGGGCCGCACGCGCGCUACACUGACUGGGUAACCCGUGGAACUUCCUUCGUGAUUGGGAUAGGGGCUUGCAAUUGUUCCCCUUGAACGAGGAAUUCCCAGUAAGCGCGAGUCAUCAGCUCGCGUUGAUUACGUCCCUGCCCUUUGUACACACCGCCCGUCGCUACUACCGAUUGAAUGAUUUAGUGAGGUUGACCAAACUUGAUCAUUUAGAGGAAGUAAAAGUCGUAACAAGGUU
rnacentral:rRNA from 1 species